rnacentral:rRNA from 1 species
AGUGAACGCUGGCGGCAGGCCUAACACAUGCAAGUCGAACGGCAGCACAGGGGAGCUUGCUCCCUGGGUGGCGAGUGGCGGACGGGUGAGGAAUACAUCGGAAUCUACCCUUUCGUGGGGGGAUAACGUAGGGAAACUUACGCUAAUACCGCAUACGAUCUGAGGAUGAAAGCAGGGGACCGCAAGGCCUUGCGCGAUUGGAUGAGCCGAGGUCCGAUUAGCUAGUUGGCGGGGUAAAGGCCCACCAAGGCGACGAUCGGUAGCUGGUCUGAGAGGAUGAUCAGCAACACUGGAACUGAGACACGGUCCAGACUCCUACGGGAGGCAGCAGUGGGGAAUAUUGGACAAUGGGCGGAAGCCUGAUCCAGCCAUGCCGCGUGUGUGAAGAAGGCCUUUUGGUUGUAAAGCACUUUAAGCGAGGAGGAGGCUACCUGGAUUAAUACUCUGGGAUAGUGGACGUUACUCGCAGAAUAAGCACCGGCUAACUCUGUGCCAGCAGCCGCCGUAA